GCGGUGGGCUUCCUGGAGGAGGCGGUUGUCCGUGGAGCCUGGAACCUGCAUCUGGCCUCAGGCCGCUCUGUGCACAGCCAGGUUGACAGCCCGGAACCUGGGAGCCUGGCAGGGCGAUCAGAGGUCACUGGUUGAUUCACCCCACAACUGACAAAGCUACUUGGUUCUGAAAAACAAAACAAAGGAUCAGCGUGUUCCAAGCAAAAAAGUCAAAAAAGGUGACUUUAGUCUUCCGUUGGUUUAGAACGCCCGGUCAACGCCUGUUUUCAGUCUCCCAAGUUAGAAUCUGUGCCCUCAAGUUUACCACCCAUCCUUUGAAGAGGAUCAAAACAGGACAAUGUCUGUGAACGUCAGAACAUCCUAGGGUGGUCACAGUCAAAAACCCAACUGACAAAGGAACGUGGUCACCUCUGCGGCCUGUGAUAGCACAGCACAAUAACCCUAAUCACGAUUGAUGAUGCUCAGAUAUCAGGGUUUUAGAAACAGCACGCCAUUCUGGAACACAUGUUAAUACUAUUCACUAAAAUAUAACCUGAAGAUCAAACACCA